AGCGGGGUAGCUCAGUUGGUAGAGCAAGCGGCUCAUAAUCGCUGUGUCGCCGGUUCAAAUCCGGCCCUCGCUA
rnacentral:tRNA from 1 species